AAUCGUUAUCAGUGAGCGUCAAGUUCUACCUGUCCAAGGAAGGCUGAAUUUUAACUAAGUUAGAACUAAUAAAAUAACUAUAAACUUCACCAUGCACAUAACUCCAACCAAGUAAGUGUCAGAUAUAAAAUUCACAAGAAAGGAAUUGCAAGGAAAUUGUAGUAAAGCAUAACAUGAUGUCACUAUUCCCUCGCUCUCUUUCAAUUUUCUGUUCGGAUGCAUUUUGAGAGGGCGAGAGAGCGGCGUGAGGAAGAAUGAAGGCGAGAUGCUGGUAUCGGGCCGGGCAGCAACAUUGAGUCUACAAAGAGACUCCUCGCAGCUCUGGUGUGUUUAUGCAAAACAAAGAAAGAAAUAAAGGAAAUUAGAAAGGAGAAUUUGAUUCUUGACACAAAAUAAAGAAAGAAACAUCAUGUUCAGCUUUGCGUCAUUUAUAAACUGAAGAAUCUUCACCAUCCAUAAUAGAGAGGGGCUUAACAAAACGACCGGCCCUCGCUCUGUUUUCCUCAUUUCUGCUUCUUUAUGCUUUGUUCAUCUGUGUUAUAUGGUGCCGGGUUGGUUGGUUCGAGUUCGGAAUGGUUUUGGAAAGGUUUGAGACACUUAGUCCUUUUUGGGUAAGCUUAAGUUGGAAAAGUCAACCGGAUGUUGACUUAUGUGAAAUAGGUUUCGGAUGUGAAUUUCGAUGGUUCGAAUAGCUUCGGGAGGUGAUUUGGGACUAGGAGCGAGAUCGGAAUGUGUUUUGGAGGUCCGGAACAGAUUUAGGCUUGAAUUGGCGAAAUUGGAAUUUUGACGUUUUCCGGUUGAUAGGUGACAUUUUGAUAUAGGGGUCGGAAUAGAAUUCCGGAAGUUGGAGUAGGUCCGUCAUGUCAAUUGUGACGUGUGUGCAAAAUUUCAGGUCAUUCGGGCGAAGUAUGAGAGACUUUUUGAUCAAAUGCAGAAUUCAAAAGUUUUGGAGUUCUUAAGCUUGAAUCCAUGGUUGAUUGGUUGUUUCGAUGUUGUUUUAGGUGUUUCGAAGAUUGGUAUAAGUUUGGAUGGCGGUAUGUGACUUGUUCAUACUUUUGGUUGAGGUCCCGGGGGCCUCGGGGUGAUUUCGGAUGGUUGACGAGAGAUUUGGCGUGUGAGAUUUGCAGUUGAAGCUGCUGAACCACUGUCAUAACCGCAUCUGCGGCUUGGGGACCACAGGUGCGGGACCGCUGAAGCGGAAGGCUAGCCGCAUAUGCGGACGUUGGCGUGAAGGGCUGAAGCGCAAGUGCGGAUGAUUGGUCGCACCUGCGAGACCGCAGGUGCGGAUGGUGAGACGCAGGUGCGGAAUUUUGGUUUUAAGUGAAAACCGCAGAUGUGGUGCUUUGGCCGCAGAUGUGGUACCGCAUGUGCGGUGUAUGGACCGCAGGUGCGAAAAGUCUGGGUCAGAAAGUAUAAGAGGUUUCCUUCGCGAAUUUGGGUUAUUUUUCAUAACAUUUCAAACGGGAAGAAGCUUUGGGGAGCAAAUUCAAGGGAGGAUUCAAGAGGGUUUCUUAGAGGUAAGGUCUUUGGUCCCUAAACUCGUUUUUAUGAUGAUUUUUAAGGUUGUAAGCUUGAAAUCCAUGGGAAAAUUAGUAGCUAAUUGGGGGUUAGGGCUUGGAAAACAUGAGGCCUAAAAUUAGGGAUUUGAGGGGUCAUUUGUGGUCGGAUUUUGGUACUUUUAGUAUGAAUGAACUCGUGGGGUAAUAAGGAUUCUAUUGAUGUAAAUUUUGUCGGAUUCCGAGAUGUGGACCCAGGGGUCGGGUUUGGUCAAUUUCGGGAUUUGUGUUGUAAUUUGAUUAUUUUUGCAUAAGUUUCGUUCCCUUAGCAUAUUUUGACGUCAUGAUUCUGAUUUUUGGAUAGAUUCGACGCGAGUUGAGGCCAAGUCGAGAGGCAGGGGCGUCACGAAGUAGUAUUUCGUCCGGUUUGAGGUAAGUAACCAUUGUAAAUCUGGACCUAAGAGUAUGAAGCUCCGGUAUUUCGUAUCAUUUUGAUAAAUAAGGUGGCACACAUGGUAGGUGACGAGCGCGUGGGCGUGCAAUGGUAGGGAUUUGUGACUUGGUCCGUCCCGUAGCAGCUAUUAAGCCGCGUAUUUGAUUUGAAAUCUUAUGGUAUUCCAUAUUUUAGAGAUUGAUACUAUAUUUUGGGUUGUACGCCAUGUUUGGGGCCUUGUGCCGACCUUUUUAGACCCUUAGGGGUAUUUUUACUUUUUCCUCACUCUGUUUGAUUUGAAAGCAUAUCCUCAGUCAUGUUUUACCUGUUAUUUGUUUAAAACUGAUUUUAUCACUCUAUUUCUAUAUAUGAAAAUGUUUGGGCGGAGUUCCCUGAUUUUACCGUUACGCCCGAGUGGCCGUGAGGUUAAUGACUGAGAGAGGUUUAGGACCUAAUGGUGAGGAUUAUAUGUCUAUUGUGGAUUGGGCUACACGCCGCAACGAAAUUAUAUAUACAUGGAUCGGGCUGCACGGCGCAACGAUAUACAUAUGGAUCGGGCUGCACGCCGCAGCUAUAUAUAUUGGGUCGGGCUGCGCGCCGCAACGAUAUGAUGCUUGAGCUGUAGGAGCCCCUCCGGAGUCUGUACACCCCCAGUGAGCGUAGUCGACUAUAAACUAUGGAUCGGGAUGUACGCCGCAACGGUUAUUAUAAUUAAUAUUAUUAUAAGAUAUUAUUGAGCCGGAGUGCUGAGUGUGAGUAAGAUGUGACUGAGUGUUGAAUCACGAGUGACUGAGAGGCUUGCCCGAGAGGCUAUAUUGUGAGUGAUACCUUGCCCGAGGGGCCCGUUUAUGACAUUUUGCUGUUUCACUCUUCUUUUAUACUGAGUCUCUGUUGAAAGAUGUUGAAUAAAUGAUUUCAAAGUAUUUCAAUUGAAACUGAAAUUUUUACGAAGUAACUGGCUAUUAAACUGUUGAAUUUGACUUGAUAUUCUGUUGAACACUCUUAUAUGAUUUUAAACUGCUCGUCACUGCACUCAGACUUUAUUUACUUUAGUUACUUACUGAGUUGGCGUACUCACUUUACUCCCUGCACCUUGUGUGCAGAUUCAGGUGCCCGCGCAACAGAGUGAGGGUUCCCAGCACUCUCAGAGCAUUACCGGAGACUGCAAGGUAGCUGCACGGCAUUCGCAACCCUGCUUUCCUCCAUCUUAUCUUAGUUUUUCUGCUAUUUCAGACUUAUGAUGUAUUAUUCAGUCAGUUUGGGUUUUAUUUAGAGGCUCUCGACUUGUGACACCGGAUUGUUGGGCUGUGUUGGUAUUCUGUACUGGUUUUUCCGCAUGUUCUGUUUUACUCAUCUAUUUCAUAUGACGAAUUUGAGAAUUAUUCGAUACUAGAAAAUGAUUUUUUUAUAAAAGAUUUUGUUGUGGUAAAUAUUCGGUUGGCUUGUCUAGUACUGUGAUAGGCGCCAUCACGACCGGGGCAUUUGGGGUCGUGACACAAACCUGUAUCAGAUGUUAUACUUGAAAUGAAAUGACAGAUUCUUAAGUGAAAUGCUGAAUUUGGGACAAACAACCUCACUACAAUAUCAAUUUAACAGAAUGUUCGUGACACUUAAACAUGUAUCCGAUGUUAUACUUGAAAUAAAAUGACAGAUUCUUAAGUGAAAUGUUGAAUUUGGGACAAACAACCUCACUACAAUAUCCAUUUAACAGAAUGAUAUUUAUUUAUUUAUAUAUAUAUGUUUGUUAUCCCGGGCAAGUUGAGCUCUAUAUGGUACACAAAGUUCUUUUAAAGUAACAUGAACAUAUAGAAUUAUUUACCUCUUUAGUUAUUGAAUCCUAAAAGAACAUGGUAUCUAGUCAUUCUUAAAACCAUCUUUUCUACUAUUUGAAAGCACAACAACAUCUCAACAAGGUAACUCAAGUAUGCAACGGUUAAACUCCUCAAAGAUUAGUAUUAUUAUCUUCGAAUAUAGUUUCAAGUAGAGAAUGUGUAAUAUUCAUAUGAUGCCACAGAAAGAGACCAAGGAAUGUGAACUUAAAGAGAAUUCUAAACAAAACUUCAAGUUGACGGUCAAGAAUCAGGACAUCUUCAUAUAUGUUCUCAAUCAAACAAUGCACAAACGGCAAUGCCGCCAAUCAUAAGGAACCUAAACAUGAUCUCCAGAUUCACGAAUCGACAUCACAAAAUGAAACCUUAUGUAUUCCUAUAAACAUUUUGUCAAACAUUCAUCAAUCAAGAUUUUUAACAUACGGCCAGAAAAUUAAAUCCUAAUGGCAUAAUUUCUACACAGGGAAAAUUUUAACUUCUGGCUUCUAAUUAACAGAGUGAACCAUUGCACGUCACAUACUACCAGUAAAGAAAGAAAGGGCUUGAGUUUGGGAGUAACUGACUGUUUGCGGGGCAGUAAAUCCGGAGCUUCGGCCUCGGAUCUAUCUCUUCUUCACGAAUGAGAUGUGGACUCGAACAACUCAUAUGCGAAAGUCGUCCCUUUAAAGUGAAAGAACGACUAAGAGUUAAUGUUUUAGGGGAAGUAGAGGCGGCUAAAGUAUAUAAAAAUGGAUAAGAGGCAACUGAAGAAUCCCCCUUUACUUGUAGAAAACAAUAAUAUUUAUAGGGGAAAGGUCUAGAAUUUUUGGAUGAAAGUUUGAGAGGGAUUUCAAAAUCGAGUCAACCAUUUAAAAUUUGAACAUUAGGAGGACUUAAUGAGCUGGUGUCUUGACUCCAAAAGAUCUGUUUGCACACUGAAAAUCUCUGUCAUAGAGAAUCAAAAAUUCAAAAGCUCUUUGGACUCUUCUAUUG
rnacentral:lncRNA from 1 species